rnacentral:rRNA from 1 species
AAUUAUUGGGCGUAAAGAGCUCGUAGGCGGUUUGUCGCGUCUGCCGUGAAAGUCCGGGGCUUAACUCCGGAUCUGCGGUGGGUACGGGCAGACUUGAGUGAUGUAGGGGAGACUGGAAUUCCUGGUGUAGCGGUGAAAUGCGCAGAUAUCAGGAGGAACACCGAUGGCGAAGGCAGGUCUCUGGGCAUUAACUGACGCUGAGGAGCGAAAGCAUGGGGAGCGAACAGGAUUAGAUACCCUGGUAGUCCAUGCCGUAAACGUUGGGCACUAGGUGUGGGGGACAUUCCACGUUUUCCGCGCCGUAGCUAACGCAUUAAGUGCCCCGCCUGGGGAGUACGGCCGCAAGGCUAAAACUCAAAGGAAUUGACGGGGGCCCGCACAAGCGGCGGAGCAUGCGGAUUAAUUCGAUGCAACGCGAAGAACCUUACCAAGGCUUGACAUGAACCGGAACGGCGCAGAGAUGUGUCGGCCACUUGUGGCCGGUUUACAGGUGGUGCAUGGUUGUCGUCAGCUCGUGUCGUGAGAUGUUGGGUUAAGUCCCGCAACGAGCGCAACCCUCGUUCCAUGUUGCCAGCGGGUUAUGCCGGGGACUCAUGGGAGACUGCCGGGGUCAACUCGGAGGAAGGUGGGGACGACGUCAAAUCAUCAUGCCCCUUAUGUCUUGGGCUUCACGCAUGCUACAAUGGCCGGUACAAAGGGUUGCGAUGCUGUGAGGUGGAGCUAAUCCCAAAAAGCCGGUCUCAGUUCGGAUUGAGGUCUGCAACUCGACCUCAUGAAGUCGGAGUCGCUAGUAAUCGCAGAUCAGCAACGCUGCGGUGAAUACGUUCCCGGGCCUUGUACACACCGCCCGUCAAGUCACGAAAGUUGGUAACACCCGAAGCCGGUGGCCUAACCCCUUGGGGAGGGAGCC